UACGUAGGUGACAAGCGUUAUCCGGAAUUACUGGGCGUAAAGCGCACGCAGGCGGCUGAUUAAGUCUGACGUGAAAUCUCCUGGCUUAACUGGGAGGGGUCGUUGGAAACUGGUCGGCUUGAGGCAGUGAGAGGGGUGUGGAAUUCCCGGUGUAGUGGUGGAAUGCGUAGAUAUCGGGAGGAACACCAGUGGCGAAAGCGGCGCCCUGGCACUGGCCUGACGCUCAUGUGCGAAAGCGUGGGGAG
rnacentral:rRNA from 1 species